GGUGUUGUGGCUCAGUGGUAGUGUGCUCGCCUAGCAAGUGUGAGGCCCUGUGUUUGAUCCUCAGCACCACCU
rnacentral:tRNA from 1 species